rnacentral:sRNA from 1 species
UAAAGGUAACGUGUCUACCCAAUUGCAAU